rnacentral:rRNA from 1 species
AUACGGAGGGUCCAAGCGUUAUGCGGAAUCAUUGGGUUUAAAGGGUCCGCAGGCGGUCAAUUAAGUCAGAGGUGAAAGCCCAUCGCUCAACGAUGGAACUGCCUUUGAUACUGGUUGACUUGAGUUAUACGGAAGUAGAUAGAAUAAGUAGUGUAGCGGUGAAAUGCAUAGAUAUUACUUAGAAUACCGAUUGCGAAGGCAGUCUACUACGUAUAUACUGACGCUGAGGGACGAAAGCGUGGGGAGCGAACAGGAUUAGAAACCCCAGUAGUCC